rnacentral:rRNA from 1 species
CCUACGGGGGGCAGCAGUCGAGAAUUUUUCUCAAUGGGCGAAAGCCUGAAGGAGCGACGCCGCGUGGGGGAUGAAUGGCUUCGGCCCGUAAACCCCUGUCAUUUGUGACCUGGUAGCGGAAGAGGAAGGGACGGCUAACUCUGUGCCAGCAGCCGCGGUAAUACAGAGGUCCCAAGCGUUGUUCGGAUUCACUGGGCGUAAAGGGUGCGUAGGUGGUCGGAUAAGUCUGAUGUGAAAUCUCGAAGCUUAACUUCGAAACUGCAUUGGAUACUAUUCGGCUGGAGGGUUGGAGGGGGGACUGGAAUUCUCGGUGUAGCAGUGAAAUGCGUAGAUAUCGAGAGGAACACCAGUGGCGAAGGCGAGUCCCUGGACAACCCUGACACUGAGGCACGAAAGCUAGGGGAGCAAACAGGAUUAGAUACCCUUGUAGUC